UACGUAGGGGGCAAGCGUUGUCCGGAUUUAUUGGGCGUAAAGGGCGCGUAGGCGGUUUCUUAAGUUUGGAGUGACAGUGGGUGGCUUAACUACCCAAGGCCUCUGAAAACUGGGGAACUUGAGGACCAGAGAGGGACAUAGAAUUCCGGGUGGAGUGGUGAAAUGCGUAGAUAUCCGGAGGAAUACCAAAGGCGAAGGCAGUGUCCUGGAGGGUGACUGACGCUGAGGCGCGAAAGCUAGGGGAGCGAACAGG
rnacentral:rRNA from 1 species